UAGUCGCCGCGGGAAUACAGAGGGUGCGAGCGUUAAUCGGAUUUACUGGGCGUAAAGCGUGCGUAGGCGGCUUCUUAAGUCGGAUGUGAAAUCCCUGAGCUUAACUUAGGAAUUGCAUUCGAUACUGGGAAGCUAGAGUAUGGGAGAGGAUGGUAGAAUUCCAGGUGUAGCGGUGAAAUGCGUAGAGAUCUGGAGGAAUACCGAUGGCGAAGGCAGCCAUCUGGCCUAAUACUGACGCUGAGGUACGAAAGCAUGGGGAGCAAACAGGAUUAGAUACCCCUGUAGUCCCUGUCUCUUAUAC
rnacentral:rRNA from 1 species